rnacentral:rRNA from 1 species
UAGGGAAUUUUCCACAAUGGGGGCAACCCUGAUGGAGCAACGCCGCGUGCAGGAUGAAGGCCUUAGGGUUGUAAACUGCUUUUCUUUGUGACGAUUAUGACGGUAGCAAAGGAAUAAGGACCGGCUAACUACGUGCCAGCAGCCGCGGUCAUACGUAGGGUUCAAGCGUUAUCCGGAAUUACUGGGCGUAAAGAGUUGCGUAGGUGGCAGAGUAAGUUGGUAGUGAAAUCGUAUGGCUCAACCAUAUACACAUUAUCAAAACUGCUCAGCUCGAAGACGAGAGAGGUACCUGGAAUUCCUAGUGUAGGAGUGAAAUCCGUAGAUAUUAGGAGGAACACCGAUGGCGUAGGCAGGGUACUGGCUUGUUCUUGACACUAAGGCACGAAAGCGUGGGGAGCGAACGGGAUUAGAUACCCCCGUAGUCC